rnacentral:rRNA from 1 species
AUGCACCGAUCCCUUUUUGUGAAAAUUGUUCAAGCUUGCGAGGCAAAUUGCCAGUAUUUUACUCAAAGAAGAAAUGUUGCGGUCUUAAAGAGAUUUAGUGCAUAUCAGAAAAUCUCCGCAGCUAUGCGGGUGAUUGCAUAUGGCGUUCCGGCUGACUAUGCCAAUGAGUACCUUCGCAUUGGUGAAGAUACUACGAUUGAGUCAGUGCAUAGAUUUGCAAAAGUGAUCAUCCGUGUCUUUGGUACUGAGUAUCUUCGGGCACCCAACAAGGAUGACACAAAGAAAUUGAUGGCAUCUAAUGAAAGGAGAGGCUGGCCUGGCAUGCUAGGUAGCAUUGAUUCGGUCUCAUUUGUUUGCUAG